UAAGUUUAUCAUUCAGUUUAAGUUUAUGGAGCUUGACUCGGUGAGUUAAUUUAGAGGUGCAAAUAAUGAUAUUCCAAUAACCUUAAGUAAGAACCGCUACUUUAAUUCCUACUUAAACCGUUCUUAAAUUUAAAAUCUUGGUCAUAUCUUUUGUCGAAUAUUCACUGAAGCCUUUUAUAAGAAUCUUUCUCCACACUCAAAAGCUGCAAAACUUCAAGCCCUAAUCGGUGGAAACCCUAGCCGGUAACUGGAUUAACACUGAUAACAAAACGUCGAAAAUGGACCUGGAUGAUUUGGGAGAGCUCGACAGUUCAAGUCAGGCCAAUACUCGAACCACCAAAUUCGCGCCCAAAUCUUCCAAAUUCGCACCCAAAUCUUCCAAAUUCGCACCCAAACUCAAACCCACCUCUAAGCCAAAACCUGAACCCUCAUCCAAACAAGAGCCUCAAGACUCCGCGCCCAAGCUCCAACCACCACCUGUGGAAGCAGUUUCCAAAAAGAAAGAAAACGAUGAAGAAGAUGUCAAGCCGCCGAUGGUUGCUGAACCGAAAGCCGAACAAUCGAUAUCAAAUGGCGCGGUGAAGAUGGAGAUUGAUGAGGACACUAAAGAAGAUGAGAUCUUGACUGAAGCCAACAGAGAAGAAGAUCAAGGAGAAGAAGAAGAUAUGGUUGUUCGCGAAAUCGACGUCUUCUUCACUCCUUCAAUUGACGCCGACGCUCAGUUAUAUGUUUUGCAAUAUCCUCUAAGGCCUUGCUGGCGACCAUACGAAUUGGAUGAACGAUGCAAGGAGGUACGGGUGAAACCUGAUAGUGGGGAAGUGGAAAUUGACAUGUCUGUUGAUAUUGAUUCGAAUAAUUAUGACAGUGAAUCUGCAAACAAAUUGAAGAUGACGAAGCAGACCUUAUCUUCUUCAUGGCUGCCACCACGUCCAUCUGGCUAUGCUGUUGGAGUUUUAAUGGGCGAUAAGUUGCACUUAAAUCCUAUUCAUGCAGUUGUUCAGCUCCGACCAUCAUUGGCACAUCUCAAGUCUGGUGUCUCAAAAAGAAAGGACACAGUGGCUGCUGAAGCAGAAGUUACUGUUAAAGUAGAACCUAACGAUGGGAAAGCAGCUGGUCCAUCAGCCAAGCAGAACCAGAAAGUGCAGUCCUCAACUGAGCAAAAGGCAGAAGAUAAAGAGUGUUGGGUUCCGCUCAAGUAUCAUAGCUCCAAGAGUGAUUUUUCUGCUCAGUAUCUGCAGAAAAUGAUGGCAGAACAAAGCUCUCCAAUUGAGUUUACUUUGAACCCGUAUGAUUAUGUUGAUUCCUUGUGUCCUCUACCAAGCAACAACAGUAAAUCACAACGUUUAUCCAGAAGGUUGUUAUGUUCAAUUCCACUUGAAGACCGUUUGAAGAAAUUACUGACCGAGGGACGUCCGUUUCACCACUUCAACACUCUCAAAAGGCACUAUGCUCCUAAUGACCCAAUUGAAGAAGUUUUUGAAGUCCUUCAGAAACAUGCUUUAUUAGUGCAGGGACUCUGGGUUCCCAAGAGUUCAUUAUUAUUUCCAGGGGAUCCGUCUAAAUCUUUAGCCAGAGACUUUGUGCUUCUCUUAUUCAGCAAGAACCCAUUCAUAAGCUAUGACAAAGUAAACAACCUUUCCACAAGUCGCAAAGAAGAAGUGAAAGGCUUUCUGAAAAUCUUAGCAAUUGAGAGUCCUCCCUUGAAAGGUUGGAAGUUAAAAGAGAAUACUGAUGAAAAUUUCAAAAAAGAAUAUCCAGAAAUUGUUAAGAAACAAGAACAGAUUUGGAAAGCUGGAGAAGACAAUGUAACUAAUCAUAUUUGGCGAGGUGCAAAGGGUGGCCCUAGUAGAACAAAGCCUGGCACAGUCAUAAAGUCAGAAAAAGCAGGGAACUCUGAUAAAGUUGCAAGAAAGGUUGCACCUGGAGCACAUGCUGGGAGGACAAUGUCUGAUGAAACUCGAGAAGCUAUACCAAAGGCCAUGAAAAAAGUGUUUCAAACUUACAAAGUUUGCAGCUUGCAACUGAUUCGCAAAGGUCUACGAGAUUUGGCUCUUUCCCAGUCUACCCUUCCCAAGGCAGAUGCUAGACUGGUAGUUAAGGCAGCAUAUGGUGCUGAUGCACCUGAGCAUGAGCUCCAGGAUGUCGUUAGUCAAGUUGCUGUAGAACUUCAUGGUGGUCUUUUCGUUAUGAAGUCAUCCCAAGAGAAUCCAGAAUGUGAUCCAUUGAGGGAAGUUGUGAUUAAUCUUCUUCGUGUGAAAGACAAGCUCAAGAAGGCUGAGGUCACAGCUGCUGCUCAAGUUAGUCUUAAGAGAGACAUUACGAAUAAUGAAUAUAACAAGGUAAUGAGUGAUUUUUGCGAGUAUAAAGGUAACUGGUGGGUAUUGAAAAGUGGUGAUGGGAAGCCAAGCUAAUUUGAUGUAAAUUAUAAUGUUCAUUGAGGAUUGCUGAUGAAAAUAGGGCAAAAGAGGAGUGAAUUGAUAGGCCAAAUUACAUGGAAUGGGAAUUUACGCAUUGCACUCAUGAAUUUCUGGUGGAACUCACCCUUUUUUUCCCCACGAAGGUACAAUUAAGAUUGAUGUUGUAGUAGUGGGUUCCAAAUUGCAAUGUUGUUGGGUCGGGCUGGAUUUGACCGCAACUUGGUUGGAGUAUUGGUCUGGUUUGAGAGAUUAGAUCGGUUGAUUCACAAAUUAGUAUAAUUUAGUUGAAUUGAGAUAAAAGAAAAUUGAUUAAAUCAGUAAAUCAGUUCUUUCUUCGUCUUUUACAAA